CCUACGGGGGGCAGCAGUGAGGAAUAUUGGUCAAUGGACGAGAGUCUGAACCAGCCAAGUAGCGUGAAGGAUGACUGCCCUAUGGGUUGUAAACUUCUUUUAUAUGGGAAUAAAAUGUUCCACGUGUGGGAUUUUGUAUGUACCAUAUGAAUAAGGAUCGGCUAACUCCGUACCAGCAGCCGCGGUAAUACGGAGGAUCCGAGCGUUAUCCGGAUUUAUUGGGUUUACAGGGAGCGUAGGUGGAUUGUUAAGUCAGUUGUGAAAGUUUGCGGCUCAACCGUAAAAUUGCAGUUGAAACUGGCAGUCUUGAGUACAGUAGAGGUGGGCGGAAUUCGUGGUGUAGCGGUGAAAUGCUUAGAUAUCACGAAGAACUCCGAUUGCGAAGGCAGUUCACUGGACUGCAACUGACACUGAGGCUCGAAAGUGUGGGUAUCAAACAGGAUUAGAUAUCCUUGUAGUC
rnacentral:rRNA from 1 species